rnacentral:rRNA from 1 species
GACGAACGCUGGCGGCGUGCCUAAUACAUGCAAGUAGAACGCUGAAGGAGGAGCUUGCUUCUCCGGAUGAGUUGCGAACGGGUGAGUAACGCGUAGGUAACCUGCCUGGUAGCGGGGGAUAACUAUUGGAAACGAUAGCUAAUACCGCAUAAUAGCAGUUAUUGCAUGAUAACUGUUUGAAAGGUGCAAUUGCACCACUACCAGAUGGACCUGCGUUGUAUUAGCUAGUUGGUGGGGUAACGGCUCACCAAGGCGACGAUACAUAGCCGACCUGAGAGGGUGAUCGGCCACACUGGGACUGAGACACGGCCCAGACUCCUACGGGAGGCAGCAGUAGGGAAUCUUCGGCAAUGGACGGAAGUCUGACCGAGCAACGCCGCGUGAGUGAAGAAGGUUUUCGGAUCGUAAAGCUCUGUUGUAAGAGAAGAACGAGUGUGAGAGUGGAAAGUCACACUGUGACGUAUCUACCCAGAAAGGACG